rnacentral:rRNA from 1 species
CUACGGGUUGCACCAGUUAGGAAUAUUCUACAAUGCGCGCAAGCGUGAUAGAUUGAGUCAGAGUGCGCUUCAAUUUGGAGUGCUUUUGUGAAAUCUAAAAAGUUUCACGAAUAAGGACUGGGUAAGACGAGUGCCAGCCGCCGCGGUAAUACUCGCGGUCCAAGUCGCAGCCAUUUUUAUUGGGUCUAAAACAUCCGUAGCUUGCUUCUUAAGUUCCUUGUGAAAUUUUGUAUCUCAAAUACAGAGCGUGCAAGGAGUACUGGGAAGCUAGAGACUGGGAGACGUAAGAAGUACGUUCAAAGUAGCGGUUAAAUGUGUUAAUCUUGAACGGACUAACAACAGCGAAGGCAUCUUACGAGAACAGUUCUGACAGUCAGGGAUGAAGGCUAGGGGCGCAAAACGGAUUAGAUACCCUGGUAGUC